UACGAAGGGGGCUAGCGUUGCUCGGAAUUACUGGGCGUAAAGGGCGCGUAGGCGGCCAGUUUAGUCAGAGGUGAAAGCCCAGGGCUCAACCUUGGAAUUGCCUUUGAUACUGGCUGUCUUGAGUUCGGGAGAGGUGAGUGGAAUGCCGAGUGUAGAGGUGAAAUUCGUAGAUAUUAGGAAGAACACCAGUGGCGAAGGCGGCUCACUGGUCCGGUACUGACGCUGAGGUGCGAAAGCGUGGGGAGCAAACAGG
rnacentral:rRNA from 1 species